CACGGGUGAGUAACACGUAUCCAACCUGCCGUCUACUCUUGGACAGCCUUCUGAAAGGAAGAUUAAUACAAGAUGGCAUCAUGAGUCCGCAUGUUCACAUGAUUAAAGGUAUUCCGGUAGACGAUGGGGAUGCGUUCCAUUAGAUAGUAGGCGGGGUGACGGCCCACCUAGUCUUCGAUGGAUAGGGGUUCUGAGAGGAAGGUCCCCCACAUUGGAACUGAGACACGGUCCAA
rnacentral:rRNA from 1 species